rnacentral:rRNA from 1 species
GCGGCAUGCUUAACACAUGCAAGUCGACGUAAAGAUAUUUACUUCUUUAUGUGGCGAACGGGUGCGUAACGCGUAAGAACUUACUUUUUGGCUUGGUAUAGUUUUGAGAAAUCUUAAGUAAACCCAAAUAAUGCCUACAAAAGGCGAAAGAACAUUCACCAAAAAAAAGGCUUGCGUCUGAUUAGCUAGUUGGUUUGAUAAUAGCAAACCAAGGCUUCGAUCAGUAGCUGAUCUGGGAGGAUGGUCAGCCACAUUGGGACUGAGACACGGCCCAAACUUCUACGGAAGGCAGCAGUGAGGAAUUUUCCGCAAUGAGCGAAAGCUUGACGGAGCAAUACCACGUGACUGAAGACAGCCUUUAUGGUUGUAAAAGUUUUAUUUUAGAAAAGAAUAUUGACUGUAUCUAAAAAAAAAGUAUCGGCUAACUCUGUGCCAGCAGCCGCGGUAAUACAGAGGAUGCUAGCGUUAUUCGGAAUGAAUGGGCGUAAAGAGUCUGUAGGUAGCUUAAAAAGUCUUUUGAGAAAUAUUUAGGCUUAACCUAAAAAGUUUAAGAGAAACUAUUAAGCUUGAGAUUAGUAGAGGUUUGGGGAAUUUUCGGUGGAGCGGUGAAAUGCGUAGAUAUCGAAAGGAACACCGGAGGCGAAAGCGUUAAACUGGGCUAAUUCUGACACUGAGAGACGAAAGCGAGGGGAGCAAAUAGGAUUAGAGACCCUAGUAGUCCUCGCCGUAAACUAUGGGGACUAGAUGUGUAUAUAUAAAUCUUGUAUAUACAUAACGAAGCUAACGCAUUAAGUCCCCCGCCUGGGGAGUACGCCGCAUUGGUGAAACUUAAAGGAAUUGACGGGAACUUACACAAUUGGUGGAGCAUGUGGUUUAAUUCGAUGCUACACGAAGAACCUUACCGGGAUUUGACAUAAUAUUUUAUUUUUUUUGUAAUUGAAAAAAUAAAUUUAUUUAAAAAUAAAUUUAAAAUAUUACAGAUGGUGCAUGGUUGUCAAGUUCGUGUUUUGAGAUGUUAGGUUAAUUCCUGUAACGAACGAAAUCCCUUUUUUCUAUUAUAUAAAAUAUUUUUAAUUGAAAUAACUGCCAAUGUAAAUUGGAGGAAGGCUGGGAUGCCGUCAAAUCAGUAUGCCUUUUAUAUCCCGGGCUACACACGUGCUACAAUGGUCGAUUCAAUAGAUAUAAAAAAUUUUAACCUCGAUCAUAGUUCGGAUUAAAGGCUGAAACUCGUCUUUAUGAAGUAGGAAUCGAUAGUAAUCGCCAGUCAGC